rnacentral:rRNA from 1 species
AUGUUCCAGAUCAGAUACACGCUCAAAGUUCUAUUUGGCGUACAAAUUAUUACGCCGGAGAGUCCACAUGGCACAGGCGCGGGGAAAGCCUUUGUGAGUUUCAAGCGCGGCAAAUCCUUUGUUAGAACACUUGAGCAGGACGGGCUGGACCUGGGAGAUGGUCACAAGCUAUGCGUGACGAAAUGGCUCGAGCUGCUGAACCUUCCAUGGCAUGGUAACAAGGAGAGAGGAGCUUUUCCAGCAAAAGAAAAGGAGAGAGGAGAAGAAAAUGUUCAAGGAAGCUCAACACGGCAUGUCCAGGCUGCUAACUGGCGUACGCCGAGGCGCAGGAAAGAGGAUCGUGUUCGAGGACUGAGUGAGGUGUUGACACCUCAUCAGCAAGGAAUUUUCAAGAAUGACUUGCAACCAUAUGCACUGAAACUCUCGUGA